rnacentral:rRNA from 1 species
CAGGCCUAACACAUGCAAGUCGAACGGAAAGGCCCUGCUUUUGUGGGGUGCUCGAGUGGCGAACGGGUGAGUAACACGUGAGUAACCUGCCCUUGACUUUGGGAUAACUUCAGGAAACUGGGGCUAAUACCGGAUAGGAGCUCCUGCUGCAUGGUGGGGGUUGGAAAGUUUCGGCGGUUGGGGAUGGACUCGCGGCUUAUCAGCUUGUUGGUGGGGUAGUGGCUUACCAAGGCUUUGACGGGUAGCCGGCCUGAGAGGGUGACCGGCCACAUUGGGACUGAGAUACGGCCCAGACUCCUACGGGAGGCAGCAGUGGGGAAUAUUGCACAAUGGGCGGAAGCCUGAUGCAGCAACGCCGCGUGCGGGAUGACGGCCUUCGGGUUGUAAACCGCUUUCGCCUGUGACGAAGCGUGAGUGACGGUAAUGGGUAAAGAAGCACCGGCUAACUACGUGCCAGCAGCCGCGGUGAUACGUAGGGUGCGAGCGUUGUCCGGAUUUAUUGGGCGUAAAGGGCUCGUAGGUGGUUGAUCGCGUCGGAAGUGUAAUCUUGGGGCUUAACCCUGAGCGUGCUUUCGAUACGGGUUGACUUGAGGAAGGUAGGGGAGAAUGGAAUUCCUGGUGGAGCGGUGGAAUGCGCAGAUAUCAGGAGGAACACCAGUGGCGAAGGCGGUUCUCUGGGCCUUUCCUGACGCUGAGGAGCGAAAGCGUGGGGGAGCGAACAGGCUUAGAUACCCUGGUAGUCCACGCUGU